CGUCGAGUAGCUCAGUUGGUAGAGCAUCGGACCGAUAAUCCGGUGGUCGCUGGUUCGAAUCCAGCCUCGACGA
rnacentral:tRNA from 1 species